rnacentral:lncRNA from 1 species
AUGAUGUCCGCCCCCCCCCCCGUCCCUGCCUGCCCUUGCAGCCUUGGGACGCCUCCGGGAGGGAGAGUAGCAAACCAUUUUCAGCAUCCGCCCAAGGAUGAUGAAGCGUUUCCAGACCUUCAGCAGCUCCAGGUCCUUCAUUUGCUAGACAACAGCACGGGGGAGGGGGCUCCAACGCCCUCCANCUGCCAAACGGAAGGAGCCCCUCCUCCUCCUCCGCCUCCUCACGGGGAAAAGCUCUCCCUUUGGUUUUUAGGAACCGCCCGCCGCCCCCUCCGCGCCCCCCCAUUCAGCCCGCCAAGCCCAGGCGAAGCAGCCAGCGUCCAAGCGCCGGACCUGGAGGAGAAUCAACCACGCGGAUCCCAACGGCGCCCCCCGACCCCCUCCUUCCCUCUCCCUGCAGGAUGCUCCUGUCAGCUCGGGUCAGCGCGUCCUCCUUUGCCGGUCCGGGGGAGGGCAUGCGGACUCCCCCCCCUCCGUGCCGCCGAAAAACCACAUUCCCCGCUGGGGACCGGGGGGGGGGCAGGCUGGCCAGCGGCUGGAGAAAUCGGGCGGCCAGCCUGCCAAGGCGUCCCUUUGUCGCCCCCCCCAAGAAAUGUCUCACUACUCCCCCAACUUUGCCGGGCUGGGUGGAGCCAGGAGGCCACGCAGAGCCCCCCUUCCCGCAAACGGGGACUUUUCGCUCUGCGGGACUGCCAGACUGACCCUGGCGAGGGAGGGAGGGAAGGCAGGCCGGGGGGGGGGCUCCUCAGUUCCAGCCAGAGCGCGGGAGAAGCCAUUCGCGCCCCCUCCCUGCCCGCGAGACCCGGCGCCACCGACGGACCUACCUGUGCGCCUGCUGCNGCCCACCUGGCUGGCUGGCUAACAGGCGGCACCCUCGGCUGCUGCUCAUCUGAUUGGCGUCACGUGGCGGGCGCGCAGGGAUCGCCGGGAAACGGAGUCCUCGGGCCAGAGGGCUCUGCUCGCUCCGCCGACGUGGACGGAACCAUUCUUCAAGCGCGGGGAAGUGGCGAAGAGAAAAGGGUUUCAUACGUUGCUGCUCUUGCUCACCCCCCAUCAGGACCGCGCGGAUAG